GUGGGGAAUCUUCCGCAAUGGACGAAAGUCUGACGGAGCAACGCCGCGUGAGUGAAGAAGGUUUUCGGAUCGUAAAGCUCUUUCGUUAGGGACGAACGUGCUCUUUGUGAAUAAUGAGGAGUAAUGACGGUACCUAAAUAAGAAGCCACGGCUAACUACGUGCCAGCAGCCGCGGUAAUACGUAGGUGGCAAGCGUUGUCCGGUAUUAUUGGGCGUAAAGCGCGCGCAGGCGGGAUAUCAAGACUGUCUUAAAAGUGCGAGGCUCAACCUCGUGAGGGGACAGAAACUGGUAUUCUUGAGUGUCGGAGAGGAAAGUGGAAUUCCAAGUGUAGCGGUGAAAUGCGUAGAGAUUUGGAAGAACACCAGUGGCGAAGGCGACUUUCUGGACGAUGUCUGACGCUGAGGCGCGAAAGCUAGGGGAGCGAACGGGAUUAGAUACCCGAGUAGUCC
rnacentral:rRNA from 1 species